UGUCCCUUUUGAUGAGAAGAAUAAGCCUCAUUGUGAUUCAACAGCAGAGAUCAAAGAAAAGACUUCUGUUUUCUGGCCACCAGAUAUAUGUUAUCUGUGCUUAAAGAAUUGAAAAACACACAUCAAAGGAGAAUUCUCUUGGAAAGAGAGGGUUCAAGCAUCACUGUUAGGUGUGCUGGAAUCCUUUCCCGAGUCAGUACUGCUUUCUAGAAGAAAACCGGGGAGAUCUAUUUGGAAUGUAUCUAACUCCAAAGGAACCAUCAGAGGUAACAGUAGAGACGGGGUUUCACCAUGUUGGCCAGACUGGUCUUGAACUCCCGACCUCGUGAUUCGCCCGCCUUGGCCUCCCAAAGUGCUGGGAUUACAGGUGUGAGACACCAUGCCCGGCGGAUAGAGAGAAUUUUGACAGAUUGGCUUCUCUCACAUGGCAAGAAACAUUGCUGCUAGCACUUCCCGAGUUCUAUGUUCUACAACAUCCACCACUGGAUCUUAACAUAGACGUAAGAUCAAAUGUAAUAGCAUGUCAAACAAUGUGUAACUCCAGUUAUACAAACAUUACUGUAUCUCAUUGGGGAUACGAAGCUCUACACACUUGAAGAUGGUGAAGGAAUAUAAAAAUCUAUGUGUCUCACAGUCCAGACUUGGAGUACAAGUAAUAAGAAGAAUAAAACUUAAUCCCU
rnacentral:antisense_RNA from 1 species